UACGUAGGGUGCGAGCGUUGUCCGGAAUUAUUGGGCGUAAAGGGCUCGUAGGCGGUUUGUCGCGUCGGGAGUGAAAACUCAGGGCUUAACCCUGAGCCUGCUUCCGAUACGGGCAGACUAGAGGUAUGCAGGGGAGAACGGAAUUCCUGGUGUAGUGGUGAAAUGCGCAGAUAUCAGGAGGAACACCGGUGGCGAAGGCGGUUCUCUGGGCAUUACCUGACGCUGAGGAGCGAAAGCGUGGGGAGCGAACAGG
rnacentral:rRNA from 1 species